GAAUCUUAAUUAGUGCACUCACGUUCCCUAUGGAAAAUCGAUACUCUGGAAUACUCCUGGGUGAAAGCUACAUCGGUAUCCGUGCGCUUGUGGAUUUUUCUGUUUGCGUUUAAAAUACCCAACAAGCUUUCUAGCGCCGUUGCCGGGGAACGGUAGUUGUGCUAGUUUCGAACCAAGUCGUCCGUGUAUCCUUUUUCUUUUCCUUUUUUUUUACCACACUCACCUUACCAUUUUCACCAUACCACAUGGAUUUCACUCCAAACAUUAAUGAGCAUGGAAUUUAUUUCAUAGCCACUUCGUUUACUCCAUGCUCAUAUGCAACAUCUUCCCAAUCUUUUGGUCUCUCUAACAUCACCACAUUCGAGAUCUCCAACCCCCUCUUCCUUUCUAUUUAUAAAAACUUUAAAAGGGCGGUUGUCGAUGCAUAUGUCUAUAAUAAAUAUUGCAGAUCUCAUUGAGUUGAUCUUGAUUUAGGUCAGCGUU
rnacentral:lncRNA from 1 species